AGUGGACGCUGGCGGUAGGCCUAACACAUGCAAGUCGAACGGCAGCACAGUAAGAGCUUGCUCUUACGGGUGGCGAGUGGCGGACGGGUGAGGAAUACAUCGGAAUCUACUUUUUCGUGGGGGAUAACGUAGGGAAACUUACGCUAAUACCGCAUACGACCUACGGGUGAAAGCAGGGGAUCUUCGGACCUUGCGCGAUUGCAUGAGCCGAUGUCGGAUUAGCUAGUUGGCGGGGUAAAGGCCCACCAAGGCGACGAUCCGUCGCUGGUCUGAGAGGAUGAUCAGCCACACUGGAACUGAGACACGGUCCAGACUCCUACGGGAGGCAGCAGUGGGGAAUAUUGGACAAUGGGCGCAAGCCUGAUCCAGCCAUACCGCGUGGGUGAAGAAGGCCUUCGGGUUGUAAAGCCCUUUUGUUGGGAAAGAAAAGCAGCAGGUUAAUACCCCGCUGUUCUGACGGUACCCAAAGAAUAAGCACCGGCUAACUUCGUG
rnacentral:rRNA from 1 species